ensembl:lncRNA
CCCUGGGCCAGAUGAACCUGUGCAGUCAGUAAGCCAUGCAAAACCCGAAUCUUCUGGUAGUGAGAGUGAAAUGGAGAUAUCCUCCGGAUCAUCUGAACUUCCACGUGUAGAACUUCAAGAGAAUCUGGCAGACUGCAGUGUUCAUGGUGAAAGCGUAAUCACACAACAAAUUUCAGAAACAACGUUGCUGAAGGGUGAGCUUUCAAAAGAAUUGACUGCACAGACCGAAACAAUGGAUAUGGAAGGAAAACAGAGUACAGAUCCAUCAACAGUCACGGUAACAUCAGAGAAAGGACAGCAGAUCGCCACAGAUGAUCCAACAUUACCUGUUGAUCAAGGCAAAGUAGAACAAAUUUGUAGUACAGUUGAUUCCUGUGUGGCAGGUGCUACAGCUGCUGACAUGUGCUACAAGACUAACGUAGAUGAUAGCCAGGAACUGGAUCAGAAAAAUGGAAAUAGUAUGGAGUUAGCAGAAACCGCAACCAAUGACCUAAAUAAGGGAGUCCCCCAACUAACAUACCUGGAUGAAUGCAGCCCCACAAACAUUCCAGUUUGUGCCUAUCCUGAACUGUGUGACAUCUCAGAUAAUUUAACACCAACUGAUGUUUUACCAUUUGAACGUUCCAUGAAUCAAGAUAAUCUGACAGAGAAUCAACCUGGCAAUGAUGUAAACCAAACCUCUCAAACUAUGUCCUGCUCCACAUACAGCAGACUUGUCAUUUCGCCAAAGAAAGAGAACUCUGAGAGCUAUAUGACAGAAGAGGAACUUUACUCUGAGAGUUGGACACCAAGGGACCCCUUGUCUUUAGGUGAAUGCUGUGACUUUGAGGCUGAAAAUCUGCUCAUGUGUGAGAUAGCUAGAUCAGUGCAGAGUAAAGGUUUGCCUGUCUCUCAUAACAUUGCCGCUGGAGAAGACAUCAUGGGUGAUGAUGAGGACAACAACCGAUAUUGUGACCUCCAAGAGAAAAUGACAGACAUUGAUGUUGGUGAGGUUGAGUCAAACAUUGCCAGCUGG